rnacentral:rRNA from 1 species
GAUGAACGCUGGCGGCGUGCCUAAUACAUGCAAGUCGAGCGAACAGACGGGGAGCUUGCUCCUCUGACGUUAGCGGCGGACGGGUGAGUAACACGUGGAUAACCUACCUAUAAGACUGGGAUAACUUCGGGAAACCGGAGCUAAUACCGGAUAAUAUAUUGAACCGCAUGGUUCAAUAGUGAAAGACGGUUUUGCUGUCACUUAUAGAUGGAUCCGCGCCGCAUUAGCUAGUUGGUAAGGUAACGGCUUACCAAGGCAACGAUGCGUAGCCGACCUGAGAGGGUGAUCGGCCACACUGGAACUGAGACACGGUCCAGACUACUACGGGAGGCAGCAGUAGGGAAUCUUCCGCAAUGGGCGAAAGCCUGACGGAGCAACGCCGCGUGAGUGAUGAAGGUCUUCGGAUCGUAAAACUCUGUUAUUAGGGAAGAACAAAUGUGUAAGUAACUAUGCACGUCUUGACGGUACCUAAUCAGAAAGCCACGGCUAACUACGUG